UGAAGCCGUUUCAGAUCCCACCAGUGC
rnacentral:piRNA from 1 species